rnacentral:rRNA from 1 species
UCUGGGAUGGGCUCGCGGCCUAUCAGCUUGUUGGUGAGGUAAUGGCUCACCAAGGCGUCGACGGGUAGCCGGCCUGAGAGGGUGACCGGCCACACUGGGACUGAGACACGGCCCAGACUCCUACGGGAGGCAGCAGUGGGGAAUAUUGCACAAUGGGCGCAAGCCUGAUGCAGCAACGCCGCGUGAGGGAUGACGGCCUUCGGGUUGUAAACCUCUUUUAGCAGGGAAGAAGCGAAAGUGACGGUACCUGCAGAAAAAGCGCCGGCUAACUACGUGCCAGCAGCCGCGGUAAUACGUAGGGCGCAAGCGUUAUCCGGAAUUAUUGGGCGUAAAGAGCUCGUAGGCGGUUUGUCGCGUCUGCUGUGAAAUCCCGAGGCUCAACCUCGGGCCUGCAGUGGGUACGGGCAGACUAGAGUGCGGUAGGGGAGAUUGGAAUUCCUGGUGUAGCGGUGGAAUGCGCAGAUAUCAGGAGGAACACCGAUGGCGAAGGCAGAUCUYUGGGCCGUAACUGACGCUGAGGAGCGAAAGGGUGGGGAGCAAACAGGCUUAGAUACCCUGGUAGUCCMCCCCGUAAACGUUGGGAACUAGUUGUGGGGACCAUUCCACGGUUUCCGUGACGCAGCUAACGCAUUAAGUUCCCCGCCUGGGGAGUACGGCCGCAAGGCUAAAACUCAAAGGAAUUGACGGGGACCCGCACAAGCGGCGGAGCAUGCGGAUUAAUUCGAUGCAACGCGAAGAACCUU